AACAAACGCUGGCGGCGUGCCUAAUAUAUGCAAGUCGAACGGGGCAGCAAUACCUAGUGGCGCACGGGUGAGUAACGCGUGGAUAAUCUGCCUUAGAGUGGGGGAUAACUAGUCGAAAGAUUAGCUAAUACCGCAUAAGACCACAAGAGCUGCGGCUCAAGGGGUCAAAGGUUUUUCGCUCUAAGAUGAGUCCGCGUAAGAUUAGCUAGUUGGUGAGGUAAUGGCUCACCAAGGCGACGAUCUUUAACUGGUCUGAGAGGAUGAUCAGUCACACUGGAACUGGGACACGGUCCAGACUCCUACGGGAGGCAGCAGUAGGGAAUAUUGCACAAUGGAGGAAACUCUGAUGCAGCGACGCCGCGUGAGUGAUGAAGGCCUUCGGGUCGUAAAGCUCUGUCGCAGGGGAAUAACACAAUGAAUGUACCCUGUAAGAAAGGAUCGGCUAACUUCGUGCCAGCCGCCGCGGUAAAAC
rnacentral:rRNA from 1 species